rnacentral:misc_RNA from 1 species
GGGGACGCCUCUGAUGAACAGCUGGAUUCGACCGAUGAGCCCCCAAUGAAAAAGAUGAAGGCUGAAGCUAUGGAGGAAGAUACCAGCAUAUAUACCAAUCCCAUAGAGAAAGACAAUGAAGAGGAGGUGGACCUGGACAAGGAGAGUCUGCGGCGACAGUUGGAGGAGAUGCAGCGACAGGCGGAAGAGUACAAGCUCCAGCUACAGCAGAAGGAGGAGGAGGCGGCCGCGUACAAAAAGAAGCUUGACGAGAGCAUCAUCACCACCGAGGAGACGUAGGGGUUGGGGAUCAAAGACAUCUGUGGGGGGCGUGACCUCGCAGGAAGGCACUGACUCUUGUGUGUGUUUAUGUCAAGCCGUUGCUUAGAUGUAAGAAGACUUUGGUAUGGAUAAAACAUGAGGGUGAAUUGGACAAGGUUAGGAGAGAAAAGAAACUGUCAGCAGUGAUGUAUUUUGAUUUUGAAUUACAGCAUAUUUACAGUUUAAUUAGAAACUAUAGAAAGUGACCCAAUGGUAACAAGUUUGUUAGGGUAUUGGAAUCGCUUUGUGAACUGUGAGUGUAAUUAUCUCUGUUGGACACUAUUUAAUUAUUUUUAACUUGAUAUGAAUAAAUGGUUUCAGGUUGAAAUGAUCUCAUCCUUGAUUGGUCAGAAUUUACAUACAGAUUUGAGAUACAUGUAUUUAGGGUAGAGAUAUACAAUUUUGAGAUGUUUGUAAUAAGUAACGUCUUGAGAAGUGUUCAGAUCUGAAUAAAUAUUGCACAUCCAUCUUGACAUUGAACCAAUCAGUCAAGGACUCUGCCUGUAUUAAAGUAGUUCAUUAUUUGUGUCUUCAAUCAUUGCAACGUUACCAUAAUUUUUUUAUACUCAGUUUUCAUAUGUAUUCUAAUAUCAUGUUGAAUUCAUCAGAAAUUUCAUAUGACAUGUCUUUAAUUUGUACCAAUAUUCCAAAUUGUUCUUGAACAAUGCAAAGACUUUGUUUUUUAAAGUCAAUAAAACUGAUUAAAAU